rnacentral:rRNA from 1 species
GUCUUUUUGAUUAUAAUUUAAAGUCUGACCUGCCCAAUGAAUUUUUAAUGGCCGCGGUAUUUUGACCGUGCAAAGGUAGCAUAAUCAUUAGUUUUUUAAUUAAAAGCUGGAAUGAAUGGUUAGACGAGAAAAUUACUGUCUCAAUUUAAUUUAAUUAGAAUUUUAUUUUUAAGUUAAAAAGCUUAAAUAUUUUUAAAAGACGAGAAGACCCUAUAGAGUUUUAUAUUAAAAUAAAUUUUUAUUUUUAUAAUUUUUAAAAUUUAUUUUAGUAUUUUAUUGGGGUGAUAAAUAAAUUUAUAAAACUUUAUUUUUAUUUUACAUAGAUUUAUGAAUAUAUGAUCCAUUAUUAAUGAUUAUAAGAUUAAAUUACCUUAGGGAUAACAGCGUAAUUUUUUUAGAGAGUUCAAAUCGAAAAAAAAGAUUGCGACCUCGAUGUUGGAUUAAAGUUAAUUUUUGGUGUAGAAGCUAAAAUAUUGAGUCUGUUCGACUUUUAAAACUUUACAUGAUCUGAGUUUAAACCGGUGUGAGCCAGGUUGGUUUCUAUCUUUAAAUAAAUAAAAUAUUUUAGUACGAAAGGACCAAAUAUUUAUAAUAAUUAUUAGUUGUUGAAUAU